AGAGUUUGAUCCUGGCUCAGAUUGAACGCUGGCGGCAUGCCUUACACAUGCAAGUCGAACGGCAGCACGGGGGCAACCCUGGUGGCGAGUGGCGAACGGGUGAGUAAUAUAUCGGAACGUACCCAGUAGUGGGGGAUAACUAUCCGAAAGGAUAGCUAAUACCGCAUACGAUCUGUGGAUGAAAGCAGGGGAUCUUCGGACCUUGUGCUAUUGGAAUGGCCGAUAUCUGAUUAGCUAGUUGGUAGGGUAAAAGCCUACCAAGGCGACGAUCAGUAGCUGGUCUGAGAGGACGACCAGCCACACUGGAACUGAGACACGGUCCAGACUCCUACGGGAGGCAGCAGUGGGGAAUUUUGGACAAUGGGGGCGACCCUGAUCCAGCAAUGCCGCAUGAGUGAAGAAGGCCCUCGGGUUGUAAAGCUCUUUUGUCAGGGAAGAAACGGUGGUCGCUAAUAU
rnacentral:rRNA from 1 species